rnacentral:misc_RNA from 1 species
GCAAACUUGGUCAUUUAGAGGAAGUAAAAGUCGUAACAAGGUCUCCGUUGGUGAACCAGCGGAGGGAUCAUUAUCGAGUUUCCGAACUCCCAAACCCCUGUGAACAUACCUUAUCGUUGCCUCGGCGGCGUCUCCCUCCCCUCGCGGGCGGGCGGCCCGCCAGAGGACCCAAACCCUUGAAUUUUUUUUUAGGAACCCUCUGAGUGAUACAAGCAAAUAAAAUUAAAACUUUCAACAACGGAUCUCUUGGCUCUAGCAUCGAUGAAGAACGCAGC